rnacentral:rRNA from 1 species
AUGGAAUAUAUCAAAAGGCUACUAUUGAAGAGAUCUGCGUUGAGUAUCUCUUCUGCUGAGUUAGGUGUCAAUACGAAGUUAAGUAUGAUUCCAGAAUCUUCGAGAGAUUUUAGGCAUAGUGGUGAUCUUUGUUGGCACGAGUAUUAUCACAUGAGUGAAGUAUCUCAGACUGUUUUGCCACCAAAGCGAUAUACUCGGUGCGAACCUUUGACUGCGGUGCGGUGCUUUCACGAGCCACAGGCUAUGCUCCAGGUUUUUUCUAUCAAGCUGAAGGCAUAUCUCCAAGCUAUAGGCAGUUCAGUCAAUGUAUAUGGUUUUGUUGCAGUCCGGGAUGGUGAGGAUUAUCACCGAAAUUAUCUUUUCAAUCCACCCCGAACUGAUCCAGUGACCAUCAACACGACCAGCGACUACCUGCCUUUGAUGAGUCCGAUACGAGGCAUGUCCAUGACAUUUGAAUGCUUGAUCGAAGUUGAUAUCAGAAUAAAGGGAGAUAUAGAAGAUGUCACUCUGGUCGAUGGGUGUGCCGAUCUUAUUGAGAGUCGUUGUCUAUAUGACACGGAAAUUGAGUGCACGAUGGAUGAUACAAAUGGUGCGGCCAUGUUCGAUUUUAUCAUCUUUCGUAGAGCGCUUGAGGCGACGAUAGAGUUGAAUUUCACAAAGGUGCCUACAGGAGGCAUGGAGGUGAAGAUGUGUGGAUACACGGCGAUUUCGAAGAGCCUUUAUGACUUCAUGGGCGAGCAGCGUGAGUGUGAUCAGUUCGUUGCCUCUGCUGGGAAACAUCCACAGUACUUCAUAGCAGCUGUGCCGUUUGAAGACACACUGUUUGUUGACUUCAUGGAGGGAAAGCUGUCGAUUCCUUUCAAGGCAGCAGUUCAUGGCAGCCAAGAGAGAGAAUACCAUUUCAGCAACGGUGCCCUGGUGUCGGUGACGGUUUCUUGGUCGUCGACCUAUUACUGA